GAUGAAGAACGUAGCGAAAUGCGAUACUUGGUGUGAAUUGCAGAAUCCCGUGAACCAUCGAGUCUUUGAACGCAAGUUGCGCCCGAAGCCAUUAGGCCGAGGGCACGCCUGCCUGGGCGUCACACGUCGUUGCCCCCCCAUCUACUCCUUCGGGAUUGCGGGGGGCGGAUGAUGGCCUCCCGUGCGCCUCGUCGCGCGGUUGGCAUAAAUGCCAAGUCCUCGGCGACGCACGCCACUACAAUCGGUGGUUGCGAAACCUCGGUUGCCCGUCGUGUGCGGUCGUCGCGCAUCGAGGGCUCGAAAAAAUUGCCGGGCUCCGGCUCGGCUUUCAACGCGACCCCAGGUCAGGCGGGGUUACCCGCUGAAUUUAAGCAUAUCAAUAAGCGGAGGA
rnacentral:misc_RNA from 1 species